CAAGAGUGUAUACAAACGUUGUUGCAGUUAAAAAGCUCGUAGUUGGAUCUCUGCUGUUGCGCACCCGUCCCGCAGCCGACAAGGUUGCGCGUGAUGGUGAGUGCGCUCGGCAUCUUUCCGCAAGGUGCUCAUCGGGCGCAAGCUCGUUGGGAUUUCCGGGCGGAUCAGUUACUUUGAAGAAAUUAGAGUGUUCAAGACAGGCAAGCGCUUUGAAUACAUUAGCAUGGAAUAACAAAAUAGGACUUGUUUCUUAUUAUGUUGGUGUUCCUGAGGAACGAGUAAUGAUUGAUAGGGACAGUUGGGGGUGCUUGUAUUGGGUGGCCAGAGGUGAAAUUCAUGGAUUCAUUCAAGACAAACUAAUGCGAAAGCAUUCACCAAGGAUGUCUUCUUUAA
rnacentral:rRNA from 1 species